GGGGUUCCAAGUAGGGAAAGUUAGAGAUAGAAGCUCCUCCUUCUCUCUAGAAUUUCUCCCCCCUCCCCUCCUCCUCCUCCUCCUUCCCCCCACACCUCUCCCAUCCCACUUUUGGCCUAUCCCUCUCUUCCCGUCCUUGAUCGGCCCACCCAUCCUCCUGGCCAUCCUUUACUUGAUUUCUACUUGAGGUCUCUCCGGCAUCUUCAAGUGUGACUUAACCCGAACAUUACCUUCUUGCUAUUGUGUUGGCAUAGUCUGGUGGCUACAUAGCAGAUUUUCCUAUUUUUCUUAAGUUAGUAGGGGAGUAUUCCUUGUUGGUUAGGUUGUUUGGAUCUGGUCUGGAGCCUUCCUCACUUCGGUGUUGCUGGGUUGAGGUUUUUGAUUUGGCUGAUUGUGUUAUUGGUUGCAGUGUUGGGGUUGUUAUUGGUUUAAAUUAAAGUUCUGCUUUAAUGGGUCUAACCAAUCAUCCUCCAUCUUCGGUCGUCGGUUCCUCCAUUUCAUCCGGCCCACCUACUCCCCCCUUCCUUUGCCAGGGGGUUUAGAUUUUGAUGCUUUGGUCUGGUGUUGGCCUUGGUAGAUGAUGGCUUCAGAUCUGAUUUUAUGUGACUAUUGAUUAUCUUGUCCUUUAAUCUGAUUUGUGUUGUUGGUGAUUCAUUUGCAGAUUAGUUUGGGAUUUAUUGCCUUUUUAUCUGUUAAGGGAUUCAUGGUUGCUCUCGCCGGAUCUGAUUUGGCGGCCUCCAUUUUAGUUUGAUUGAGGAAGCUUUGUCCGACUAAUUUGGUGUAGGCUUUCUUGCCAGAAUCCAUGGAGUUUCUGCUCUCUUUGGUGUUGUCCGGAUACUUGCUGUCGAUCUGCCGGAGAUGGAUGUAUCAGCUGCUAUCGCUAGUUGCUCUCUAGCAGGUCUCGAGUUCAUGAGGCUGCUUUGGGGUUGAUGCAGUUGUGGUCUAUUGCUUUUCCUACAUUUGGGCCCCACUUAAUUUUAAAUUUGAAUUUUUUCUAUUGGGCCAAAUGACUGGUGGUUUGCUAAUUUAUUUUAGCUAAAUGUUGGUCACGUGGACUUUGUGGUUUGAUGUUUUAUUGGUAUUACCACAUGCGCUGAUUAUCUUAAGAUGGUGGGCUUAUUUGGCUCACUGGCUUUGUUUCUCGGAUGGGCUUUGGGCCUAUUCCGUGUUUUUUUGUGUUUCAUUUGCCUAACCUCGUGUUGUGAGGAAAAUGUAAUUUAGGUUAGGUAAAUUGAUCCUAGGCUUUACUAGGUGUUUUAGCCCUCUCGGGAGAAGAGGUAUAUGAUCUGAUCUUCAUUGUAAUAUCCUUAUUUUUUGCAUUUAAUACACAAACAAAUUUAGCAAAAAAAAAAAAAGACUCGGCUUUGGAAUCAAUAAUUGAAAUUAGGAUUGGAGGAACAUCUGAGGGUCACAAGACCAUGAACUAUGUCCUAGGUUAUCAAGUAUCUCUACUUAAACCUUUAACAGUCAUAAGACUAUAUGGACCUUUCUUCUUGUACUUAGGGGGUGGACACCGGGAAUUUUCCUAUCGCGUUCUCUACCCUUUAUGUGUUCUAUGUUUGAUUUUUUUUACUUGCUUAAAGGUGAGAUUUUUGGAAAGACCGACAUACAAUGUUGACUAUUUGAAAAGUUUGAUUUUAAUGAUUAGGCCGAAUUAGACAGAGCCGCUAGUUGGUAUGAGUUUAAAUGGUUGUACAAACUCAACCAGAGUUUGAAAGGUUUUUGAAAUAUGG
rnacentral:lncRNA from 1 species